rnacentral:rRNA from 1 species
ACGUACCGUCCAAACGUUAUUCGGUAUCACUGGGCUUAAAGCGUUCGUAGGCGGCUUGGUAGGUGUGAUGUGAAAGCCCACGGCUCAACCGUGGAAUUGCGUCGCAAACCACCAAGCUUGAGGAAGAUAGGGGUGAUGGGAACUUAUGGUGGAGCGGUGAAAUGCGUUGAUAUCAUAGGGAACACCGGUGGCGAAAGCGCAUCACUGGAUCUUUUCUGACGCUGAGGAACGAAAGCUAGGGUAGCGAACGGG